rnacentral:misc_RNA from 1 species
GGGAUGUGACACUUCAGCACCCACUCUCUCUGUCUGGGAAAAGCCGGGCAGCCCCCUCCCCCAUGCCUUGCCAAGUGCCGAGCCGCUUCUGGUGGUGACGGGGUCAGGCGCCUACGCCGCAGGGGGGAGGGUUCAGAGCGAUGUGUCGCUGCUGGUGCCGGCGGUGGCGUCCUGGAUGACGUUGCAUCGGAGUGGCCCGCGACAGCGAGGCAGAUCUGUAUCCAUCCACAUGAUGGGCAGAGCGUCAUCGUGACCCGAGCGUCUCCCACCCGGCCCGGCCCUCACACCGCCCACUGGUGUGGGUGGGGUGCCCGAGCGCCACCGCGAGGGGGAUGCGCCCGGUGGCGGCCGGCAUGGUGGGCGCGGCUGCGCGGCGCCCCGCGAAGCAUGGGCUGUGGGCGUGGGUGGGGGCCGUGCUCUCCGAUGGCUGGGCCAGCGCGUUGCUGUGGCGCGUGUGUGUCUACGGCUGCCAUCGGCCCACGCGAGGUUGGGCCUGUGACGGAGGAGGAGGUGUAGACAGGCGUUCGACCUCGUGUCGUGCGGCAGAGAACGGACCCGUGGGAAGCGGAUGAAAGCGCUUCUCUCUCCCUGUCUUCCCGAUCAGCUCAUGCAUACGCGUUUGGGCAUGCUUCAUUCAGCACGCACGAGCGCCUACACGUAUGCACAGACACCAUUGGCAGAGGAUACAGUGGAAUGUAACGUGAAAGGGAGAGGGGGGGGGCGUGGCGGUGACGGUGGUGACUCAUGGAUGCGUGCUUUCACGUGUGUGUACGUGUGUACUUUGUCUCUCCGCAUGCGCGUCCGUCUGUGUGGAAAGCUCUUCGUGUACUCAGCGGCGAUUCACGUCUCUCUCGCUCUCGCUCUCUCUGUGCAUUAGCCGUUCUUCUCUGUUUCGGAUCCAUGUAUGUGCGUCGCAGCGCCUCUCAGCCGAUCUCUGGCGAAGAAGGAACGCUCGCAGGCUUCAGGUGGAUGACGACUGCGUCUGCAGCGGUGCUUCCGUCUCACUUUGCAUGCAGAUCGACACCACCACCGCCAUUGUGGCUUCUGCUCACAACGAAAGUCGGUAAAGGAAGUACACAGGAAAACAAAACGUGUGGUGCACGGGCUGCUCCUUUCCUCUUGCACCCCUCCACGUGGCGCCGUCUCUGUCGUCUCCCUCCUCCGCCCCUCUUCCCUUGGCGGGCUUCGGUUUUGCAGCUCGACUCCCUUUGUUUCUUCGCUGGAUGUCUUCCUUACUUUUUCGCUCGUGCUGUCUUCUGGGCUGCAGCGCGUGCGCAGGCACGCCGUUGUGCGCGUGCGAUACACAUACGCACACACGCUCGCACUUCCAUGAAGAUGGCGAAAACAACGUGUGCGGUUUCACGUGCGUCUCGCGCCAUACUUUCCGUUCCUGUUGCGGGCUUGCCGAGGCAGCCCCUACCUCCCACUU